AACCAAUGCUCGCCCUUGACGGCAGAGCGCGCUGGUUACGAGCCGGGAACGAGCUCGCAAAGAGCACGCGCGUUCUUUGCUUCUUGGGAGCAGAGUGAAGCUGCUAGGGCGGUGGCGCUUCAGGAGAAGCACGAAUUAAUUGGUAGACGCAGACUGAUGCAGAGGACACCAUCUCAGAUCAACACAGCCCUGCCCUCCAGCACCCUCAGCAGCAGGAGCAGCAGCAACAUUAUACCCCAUCAGGUGUUUAAUGAUCCCAUCCAUGGCCACAUCGAGUUACCUCCACUUCUUGUCAAGAUCAUAGACACCCCUCAGUUUCAGAGACUACGAAAUAUCAAGCAGCUUGGGGGCGGUUAUUUUGUUUUUCCAGGAGCAUCCCACAACCGCUUUGAACACUCUAUUGGGGUGGGAUACUUAGCAGGAGAGCUUGCUAAAGCCCUCAAGGUGAAGCAGCCAGAACUUAACAUCAGUGAUCGAGAUGUCCUCUGUGUGCAAAUUGCAGGCCUCUGCCAUGACCUGGGACAUGGGCCCUUCUCUCAUCUGUUUGAUGGUAUGUUCAAUCCUGAAGCGGACCCACUAACUAAAGACUGGAAGCAUGAGGAUGCCUCUUUAGAGAUGUUUGAUCACCUGGUGAAAGCGAAUAGUCUGGCACAAGAGAUGGAGCGAUAUGGACUGAUACUUCCACCUGACCUGACAUUUAUCAAGGACAUGAUUAAACCUCUAAAGAGUGGUGACACUGAGUGGCUGCGUGAAGGUGAGAGACAUGAGAAUAAAUCCUUUCUCUAUGAAAUUGUGUCAAACACGCAAAAUGGGAUUGAUGUGGACAAGUUCGACUACUUUGCCAGGGACUGCCACCACCUGGGCAUCCGGAACAACUUUGACCAUCAACGCUUCAUCAUGUUUGCCAGGGUGUGUGAUGUGAAUGGGCGGAAGCACAUUUGCUCUAGAGACAAGGAAGUGGCAAACCUGUAUGACAUGUUCCACACAAGGAACUCUCUCCACAGAAGAGCCUACCAGCACAGAGUAACCAAGAGUGUAGAAAUUAUGAUCAAAGACGCCCUCUUGAAAGCAGAUCAUCACAUCCUGACUAAAGGUUCAGGAGGGACAACGCUCUGUCUCUCCAAAGCUAAAACUGACAUGGAAGCCUACACAAAGCUGACAGAUCAAGUGAUUGAAAAAAUACUCCACCCUUGUUCUUCUUCAAAUGAACCCACUCCUCCUCCUCUGGAGGAAGCCAGGGAGAUUCUUGAGAGGAUCACGUCUCGAGACCUGUACCAGUUUGUGGGUGAAAUCAAGCUCAAGAAAGAAGACCAAGAGGAAAUAAAAAAGAUGAAGGACAGCUUGGAAAAUGAACUGGUUAAAGUCAUUCGAAAGGACAACUUUGAAAUUACUGUUGUCACUUUGGACUAUGGGAUGAAAAACAAGGACCCCAUCAAUACCACAUAUUUCUACACUAAGGCUAACCCUACUGAAGCAUUCAAGAUUCCCAGAGAACAGGUGUCCAAGCUUCUCCCAGUGUGCUUUGCUGAGAAGAUCCUCAGAGUUUACUGUAAGAACUCAGCCAGUCUGAGAGAUGCUAAGUUCUGCUUUCAAAGCUGGUGUCACGAAAAUGACUUUCUAACUGAGGAUCGAGACAGAGCAACUCCAUGAAAUGAAGAUGUGAAACACUGAGAAAUUAGAUUUUUUGUGUUACUUCAGAGAUUUAAAAACAGGUAAAUCAGCAAGCUAAAGUAGUUUGGUGAUUAAACUAUAUAUCACACUAUAUUUCACUAUAAUCAGACUAUAUAGCUCAACUUGGCUGAAUGGUUUAGAUAAAGGCUACUGUUAUGAUUUGCUCAUUGUGUGAAAAAUCAUUAUUUAUUAUAUAACAGAUCUCUACAUGAAAAUUUACCGAAGGAUAACAGAAUCUUUCUGCUGUUUCCUCUUUAGUUUUAAUUACCGCUGGUUUCUGGUCCAUUGAUUGAUAAUUUAUUUCGAGCAUAUGGGUACAAAUAUAUUGAGUGUAUGUAAUAUGCUGUAUAACAAUGAUAACUUAAUGCUGCCCCCAUCCCCGAACUGCAUGAAAACCGUAUCUUUAAACAUUUAUUUAAAUUUCUGGAUAUUUGGACAUCGCUCGUCCUUAGCCCCUAAUCCACUCCACAAUUUAACCCCACACACAGACACACAAAAACUUUUCCUAGUAGUUCUCACCACAUGCAUCUCUCUGGUUGAAAAGAUUUUGAAAUUUGGCUGGCAAUAAAUUAUUUCUAGGUCUAAGCAUUAUAUGUGCGGUAUUGUAAUUAACCAAGUCAUGAAGGUUUAAUCAUUUUGACUGUACAAAUUAUAAAUUUGUAUUAUGAAGAUACUCAUGUUUGUUCAUUGUAGAAACUGCCCUUUUCUGUAAUUUCCGAAAAGAGAAUUUAGUGUAUUUUUAAUUAUUUCCCCAUACCUCUAUACAAUAAGUUAAAUGAGGAAGAAUUAGAGAACAAUUAAGUAGACAGAGGAAAUUCUAAUCUAGAACCUGUUUAAUUUUGUUUAUGAUUGAGAUGCUUUUGGACACUUUGUUUGUGCAUGUCUGAUAUGAGGUUUCUAGCUGAUAUUAAGUAUCAAUCCUAAGAAUUGAGUCUCCUUUACUAUUUCAAUUUUUCAUUUUCUACCUGUAUUUGGGUGCCAUCAUUGACUUUAUAGUUACCAAAUAUCAUUGCUUUUGUUUGACUAACAUUUAGUGAUAAUUUAUUACUAUUCAUCCAAUUUUUAACCGUCUUAAUUUAUUAUUUACAUCAUUAAAAAGUUCCUCAUGAUUAUUCACAGAAAAAAUAUAUUAGUAACAUCAGCAAAUAAUAUUAAGUUUGAUCAUUUAGAAACUUUGAACAUGUCAUUAAUAUAAAUAUGUAUUAACUAGACUGGGGUACAAUAAUGACCCUUGAGGGACUCCACAAGCAAUUUCCAUGUACCUAGAUGUAAAUUCUCCCAUCUUCACAAACUGUUGUCUAAAUACUUCUUGAUCCAGCUCAGUACUACUCCCCUUGUGCCAUAAAGCUGUGGUUUAUUUAGUAGUAUUGAGUGAUUAACUGUAUUAAAUGCUUUCUUAAAAUCAAUAAAUAUUCCAACUGCA